rnacentral:rRNA from 1 species
UGGGGAAUUUUGGACAAUGGGGGAAACCCUGAUCCAGCCAUCCCGCGUGUGCGAUGAAGGCCUUCGGGUUGUAAAGCACUUUUGGCAGGAAAGAAACGUCGCGGGUUAAUACCCCCGCGGAACUGACGGUACCUGCAGAAUAAGCACCGGCUAACUACGUGCCAGCAGCCGCGGUAAUACGUAGGGUGCAAGCGUUAAUCGGAAUUACUGGGCGUAAAGCGUGCGCAGGCGGUUCGGAAAGAAAGAUGUGAAAUCCCAGAGCUUAACUUUUGGAAACUGCAUUUUUAAACUACCGGGCUANAGUGUGUCAGAGGGAGGUGGAAUUCCGCGUGUAGCAGUGAAAUGCGUAGAUAUGCGGAGGAACACCGAUGGCGAAGGCAGCCUCCUGGGAUAACACUGACGCUCAUGCACGAAAGCGUGGGGAGCAAACAGGAUUAGAUACCCUGGUAGUCCACGCCCUAAACGAUGUCAACUAGCUGUUGGGGUCUUCGGACCUUGGUANCGCAGCUAACGCGUGAAGUUGACCGCCUGGGGAGUNC